rnacentral:rRNA from 1 species
UACGUAGGGUGCAAGCGUUGUCCGGAUUUAUUGGGUUUAAAGGGCGCGUAGGCGGCUUUGCAAGUGACGGGUGAAAUCCCUCGGCUUAACCGAGGAACUGCCUGUCAGACUGCAUGGCUUGAGACCGGGAGAGGUGAGUGGAAUUCCCAGUGUAGCGGUGAAAUGCGUAGAUAUUGGGAGGAACACCAGUGGCGAAGGCGGCUCACUGGGCAGUAACUGACGCUGAGGAGCGAAAGCGUGGGGAGCGAACAGG